rnacentral:lncRNA from 1 species
AUGUUUUUCGCGACGAGGAUCCUGUGUUCUGCCUUACAAACAGGACAACGGAGUGGAUUCCAUGCAGCGACCCCAAAAAAAAAACGACUCAGAAAAAGAGGGAAACGAGGCGGUCUUCUGGUCAGGCUCCGUAGACGGGCACACCGUGCACCACUCCCUAGCAUUCUUCUUGCCAAUGUCCAGUCUCUUGACAACAAGGUUGAUGAAAUCCGAGCAAGGGUAGCAUUCCAGAGGGACAUCAGUGACUGCAACGUUCUUUGCUUCACGGAAACAUGGCUCACUGGAGAGACGCUAUCCGAGGCGGUGCAGCCAACGGGUUUCUCCACGCAUCGCGCCGACAGAAACAAACAUCUUUCUGGUAAGAAGAGGGGCGGGGGCGUAUGCCUUAUGGCUAACGUGACAUGGUGUGAUGAAAGAAACAUACAGGAACUCAAAUCCUUCUGUUCACCUGAUUUAGAAUUCCUCACAAUCAAAUGUAGACAACAUUAUCUACCAAGAGAAUUAUCUUCGAUUAUAAUCACAGCCGUAUAUAUCCCCCCCCAAGCAGACACAUCGAUGGCUCUGAACAAACUUUAUUUAACUCUCUGCAAACUGGAAACGAUUUAUCCGGAGGCUGCAUUCAUUGUAGCUGGGGAUUUUAACAAGGCUAAUCUGAAAACAAGACUCCCUAAAUUUUAUCAGCAUAUCGAUUGCGCAACCAGGGGUGGAAAGACCUUGGAUCAUUGUUACUCUAACUUCCGCGACGCAUAUAAGGCCCUGCCCCGCCCCCCUUUCGGAAAAGCUGACCACGACUCUAUUUUGUUGAUCCCUGCCUACAGACAGAAACUAAAACAAGAGGCUCCCACACUGAGGUCUGUCCAACGCUGGUCCGACCAAGCUGACUCCACACUCCAAGACUGCUUCCAUCACAUGGACUGGGACAUGUUUCGUAUUGCGUCAGAUAACAUUGACGAAUACGCUGAUUCGGUGUGCGAGUUCAUUAGAACGUGCGUUGAAGAUGUCGUUCCCAUAGCAACGAUUAAAACAUUCCCUAACCAGAAACCGUGGAUUGAUGGCAGCAUUCGUGUGGAACUGAAAGCGCGAACCUCUGCUUUUAAUCAGGGCAAGGUGUCUGGUAACAUGACCUAA